UGGUCCUCCAAAUCGUGGUUGACCUAAGCAGACUUGAUCAAUCCCUCCGACAAAAUUAUAAUGUUGUGGAUCAUCUGCAAAACAGAAAACAAAAUGGCUAAGUCAUCUACUUGGCCAAAAGUAAUUCAAAAAGAAAUCAAAUAAGGAAAAAUCGAAUACUUAUCCCAAUCAACGACUUGUAAGCGCCCGACUGAAUCUUUGAGAUUGGGCGUGCCUACCUGACUUCCCAGUUUGCGGAAAGUAUGAUCAUUCUCACCAACUCUCCGGCAAGUUGGUGGUCUUGAAGUGCCAGAUCGGUGACUUUGAAGUGCAUCUCGAUCGCAAUAGUCGGCUCCCUGGAAGGUAUGUCUGGACUAUAGUCCAUAGUGAAAGUGGAGAGCAUUGGGGUCUUACCUUUGACAGCAUCCGUGUCGGUAGCUUCCCGACCAACUGCUCGACUUUCUCUGGACUCAGCUUGGAUCGAAAGGGCUUAUACCGCUUCAGUCGAUCUUACCAGUGCUUCGACGACCACCACAUUGUCGUCAAUCGGGGGAGAAGCAGCAAUCGUCACGACUUCGAUGGUAGGUGGUAGAGACGAGCGCUCUGGCGGUAUUUGGAUCGAUGAUGGCGGUACUCGAGGUGGUGAUGACGGCUGUGUACUCCUCAGUACCUUUGAAGGAGACUCUUCUCUUGACUUUUUUGAUAGUCAAGAGGGACCACCGGGCCUGGAUGCCACCUUGGUCUUCUUCUUCUGAACCGCCUCCUUGAGAGAUCUCGCCAUAAGCCUCAUGCCUAUACGAACACGAUAA
rnacentral:lncRNA from 1 species